rnacentral:rRNA from 1 species
GCGUCUGAUUUGAUGCUUGCAUAAUGAAAGAUGAGCGGCGGACGGGUGAGUAACGCGUGGGUAACCUGCCCUAUACACAUGGAUAACAUACUGAAAAGUUUACUAAUACAUGAUAAUAUAUAUUUACGGCAUCGUAGAUAUAUCAAAGUGUUAGCGGUAUAGGAUGGACCCGCGUCUGAUUAGCUAGUUGGUGAGAUAACUGCCCACCAAGGCGACGAUCAGUAGCCGACCUGAGAGGGUGAUCGGCCACAUUGGAACUGAGACACGGUCCAAACUCCUACGGGAGGCAGCAGUGGGGAAUAUUGCACAAUGGGCGCAAGCCUGAUGCAGCAACGCCGCGUGAACGAUGAAGGUCUUCGGAUCGUAAAGUUCUGUUGCAGGGGAAGAUAAUGACGGUACCCUGUGAGGAAGCCCCGGCUAACUACGUGUCAGCAGCCGCGGUAAUACGUAGGGGGCUAGCGUUAUCCGGAUUUACUGGGCGUAAAGGGUGCGUAGGUGGUCUUUCAAGUCGGUGGUUAAAGGCUACGGCUCAACCGUAGUUAGCCUCCGAAACUGGAAGACUUGAGUGCAGGAGAGGAAAGUGGAAUUCCCAGUGUAGCGGUGAAAUGCGUAGAUAUUGGGAGGAACACCAGUAGCGAAGGCGGCUUUCUGGACUGCAACUGACACUGAGGCACGGAAGCGUGGGUAGCAAACAGGAUUAGAUACCCUGGUAGUCCACGCUGUAAACGAUGAGUACUAGGUGUCGGGGGUUACCCCCCUCGGUGCCGCAGCUAACGCAUUAAGUACUCCGCCUGGGAGUACGCACGCAAGU